rnacentral:misc_RNA from 1 species
CCUCCUUUCUAAGGAGAAUAACUGUGGUGGCAUAAGCCAUCACGAGGUCGAACCGGGAUGCUCGUCAUUCCGGCAGGGCUCGGACCUUAUUGUGCAAUUCAGUGUUCCGAGAACGGUGUUCUUUUGACAGGAUAGCUUUGCUCCGGGCGUACUCGUUCGGUGACAAGUAAGCUCAAAAGGGGCUGUAGCUCAGUUGGUAGAGCGCCUGCUUUGCAAGCAGGAUGUCAGGAGUUCGAGUCUCCUCAGCUCCACCAAUUACAACAACCGGUCGGGCCUGUAGCUCAGUUGGUUAGAGCGCGCCCCUGAUAAGGGCGAGGUCACUGGUUCAAAUCCAGUCAGGCCCCACCAUUGCUGAAUUUUUUAUCUGCCCAUGUUGGCAGGUAUGUUCUUUUGACAACUGGUAUGUAGUGAUAUUGCGAUAUAAAAACCCCAAUACGCUGAGAAAUUUAUUUGGGAUCAUUUUCAAAUUUAUUGAAAAUAACCCAAGUUCUUUUUGGG